rnacentral:misc_RNA from 1 species
GUAACAAGGUCUCCGUAGGUGAACCUGCGGAGGGAUCAUUACACAAUAUGAAAGCGGGUUGGGACCUCCUCACCUCGGUGAGGGCUCCAGCUUGUCUGAAUUAUUCACCCAUGUCUUUUGCGCACUUCUUGUUUCCUGGGCGGGUUCGCCCGCCACCAGGACCAAACCAUAAACCUUUUUGUAAUUGCAAUCAGCGUCAGUAAACAAUGUAAUUAUUACAACUUUCAACAACGGAUCUCUUGGUUCUGGCAUCGAUGAAGAACGCAGCGAAAUGCGAUACGUAGUGUGAAUUGCAGAAUUCAGUGAAUCAUCGAAUCUUUGAACGCACAUUGCGCCCUUUGGUAUUCCAAAGGGCAUGCCUGUUCGAGCGUCAUUUGUACCCUCAAGCUUUGCUUGGUGUUGGGCGUCUUUGUCUCUCACGAGACUCGCCUUAAAAUGAUUGGCAGCCGACCUACUGGUUUCGGAGCGCAGCACAAUUCUUGCACUUUGAAUCAGCCUUGGUUGAGCAUCCAUCAAGACCACAUUUUUUUCAACUUUUGACCUCGGAUCAGGUAGGGAUACCCGCUGAACUUAAGCAUAUC